rnacentral:rRNA from 1 species
CGCGCAGGCGGUCGUUCAAGUCGCGUGUGAAAGCCCCCGGCUCAACUGGGGAGGGUCACGCGAUACUGAUCGACUCGAAGGCAGGAGAGGGAAGUGGAAUUCCCGGUGUAGUGGUGGAAUGCGUAGAUAUCGGGAGGAACACCAGUGGCGAAGGCGACUUCCUGGCCUGUUCUUGACGCUGAGGCGCGAAAGCUAGGGGAGCAAACA